GGUGAACGCUGGCGGCGUGCUUAACACAUGCAAGUCGAACGAGAAGUGAAGACGGAAACCUUCGGGCGGAAGGCUUUAUUUCGAGUGGCGGACGGGUGAGUAACGCGUGGGUAACCUGCCUCAUACAGGGGGAUAACAGUUGGAAACGACUGUUAAUACCGCAUAAGACCACAGCACCGCAUGGUGCGGGGGUAAAAACUCCGGUGGUAUGAGAUGGACCCGCGUUCGAUUAGCCAGUUGGCGGGGUAACGGCCCACCAAAGCGACGAUCGAUAGCCGAUCUGAGAGGAUGACCGGACACAUUGGGACUGAGACACGGCCCAAACUCCUACGGGAGGCAGCAGUGGGGAAUAUUGCACAAUGGGGGAAACCCUGAUGCAGCGACGCCGCGUGAGUGAAGAAGUAUUUCGGUAUGUAAAGCUCUAUCAGCAGGGAAGAAAAUGACGGUACCGGAGGAAGAAGCCCCGGCUAACUACGUG
rnacentral:rRNA from 1 species